rnacentral:rRNA from 1 species
GUGGGGAAUCUUAGACAAUGGGCGCAAGCCUGAUCUAGCCAUGCCGCGUGGACGAUGAAGGCCUUAGGGUUGUAAAGUCCUUUCGCUGGGGAAGAUAAUGACGGUACCCAGUAAAGAAGCCCCGGCUAACUCCGUGCCAGCAGCCGCGGUAAUACGGAGGGGGCUAGCGUUGUUCGGAAUUACUGGGCGUAAAGCGCGCGUAGGCGGAUCGGAAAGUUGGGGGUGAAAUCCCGGGGCUCAACCUCGGAACUGCCUUCAAAACUCCCGGUCUUGAGUUCGAGAGAGGUGAGUGGAAUUCCGAGUGUAGAGGUGAAAUUCGUAGAUAUUCGGAGGAACACCAGUGGCGAAGGCGGCUCACUGGCUCGAUACUGACGCUGAGGUGCGAAAGCGUGGGGAGCAAACAGGAUUAGAAACCCGGGUAGUCC